rnacentral:rRNA from 1 species
GACGAACGCUGGCGGCGUGCUUAACACAUGCAAGUCGAACGAAGUGGCGAACGGGUGAGUAACGCGUAAUCAACCUGCCCUUCAGAGGGGGAAAACAGUUGGAAACAACUGCUAAUACCACAUACUGAAGGAGGGGAUUGAGUCUGAUGAGCUAGUUGGAGGGGUAACGGCCCACCAAGGCGAUGAUCAGUAGCCGGGCUGAGAGGAUGAACGGCCACAUUGGGACUGAGACACGGCCCAGACCCCUACGGGAGGCAGCAGUGGGGAAUCUUCCGCAAUGGACGAAAGUCUGACGGAGCAACGCCGCGUGAGUGAUGACGGCCUUCGGGUUGUAAAGCUCUGUUAAUCGGGACGCGGUACCGGAAUAGAAAGCCACGGCUAACUACGUGCCAGCAGCCGCGGUAAUUC